CCUACGGGGGGCAGCAGUGGGGAAUAUUGGACAAUGGGGGCAACCCUGAUCCAGCCAUGCCGUGUGUGUGAAGAAGGCCCUCGGGUUGUAAAGCACUUUCAGUGAGGAAGAACGCCUGGUGGUUAAUACCCAUCAGGAAAGACAUCACUCACAGAAGAAGCACCGGCUAACUCCGUGCCAGCAGCCGCGGUAAUACGGAGGGUGCGAGCGUUAAUCGGAAUUACUGGGCGUAAAGCGCGCGUAGGUGGCUUGAUAAGCCGGUUGUGAAAGCCCCGGGCUCAACCUGGGAACGGCAUCCGGAACUGUCAAGCUAGAGUGCAGGAGAGGAAGGUAGAAUUCCCGGUGUAGCGGUGAAAUGCGUAGAGAUCGGGAGGAAUACCAGUGGCGAAGGCGGCCUUCUGGACUGACACUGACACUGAGGUGCGAAAGCGUGGGUAGCAAACAGGAUUAGAUACCCUAGUAGUC
rnacentral:rRNA from 1 species